CACGGAGUUAGCCGGUGCUUAUUCAUACUGUACCUUCAGCUACUUACACGUAAGUAGGUUUAUCCCAGUAUAAAAGAAGUUUACAACCCAUAGGGCCUUAGUCCUUCACGCGGGAUGGCUGGAUCAGGCUCUCACCCAUUGUCCAAUAUUCCUCACUGCUGCCUCCCGUAGGAGUCUGGUCCGUGUCUCAGUACCAGUGUGGGGGAUCACCCUCUCAGGCCCCCUAAAGAUCACUGACUUGGUGAGCCGUUACCUCACCAACUAUCUAAUCUUGCGCGUGCCCAUCUCUAUCCACCGGAGUUUUCAAUAUCCUACGAUGCCGUAAAAUAUAUUAUGGGGUAUUAAUCUUCCUUUCGAAAGGCUAUCCCCCAGAUAAAGGCAGGUUGCACACGUGUUCCGCACCCGUGCGCCGCUCUCAAAGAUCCGAAGAUCUUCUACCGCUCGGCUUGCAUGUGUUAGGCCUCCCGCUAGCGUUCAUCCUGAGCCAGGAUCAAACUCU
rnacentral:rRNA from 1 species